CUUGCCCAGUGGCUAUACUUGGUGGAUUCCCUCGCACUGCAUGGUUUGACGUUAGAGAACUUUCAGAAGAUAGUCCUGAUGAUUUCGAAGGUUUAGACGCUUCAGUAGCGCAUAUUGCAAACUUGUUGUCAAUAGAGCCUGCUGAUAGUAAGUUUCUGCCUUGUUACUUCAUUGAUUAUAGGCUACUAAAUUACUUAAUUUCCAUGUGUUUAGUUAGUUGUUCAUUUAUCUAUCGUGAUAAAAAGUUUCAUCAACUAUCAUGAAUAAAUUACCACCGUGUUGUUUAGGAAUUCUAUACUUUUUCAUUUAUUUAUUUAUUUUUGUAUUAACUCAUUUACAAUUAAACUUGGCAUCGGGGGUUUUAGUAUGGGUGUUGCAACUGCCCUCUACUCUGCAACUUGUUUUGCCCAGGGAAAAUAUGGAAAUGGGAUCGAUUACCCUGUUAACUUGAGGGCUAUUGUUGGUCUAAGUGGUUGGCUUCCUAGUUCAAGUGUCAUCUCAGGUAGGACUCACUCAUUGUUGAUUCAUAAAUUUUUUCGCAAGUAAAGAUGUAAUGUGUGCACCUUAUAGUGCUCUUCAAAAUAUUACCAUGCUUAUUAGUUAACGGCAAGUUUAUGCACCACGUUGAGGAACAAGAUAGAAGGAUCACAGGAGGCUGCAAGGCGUGCUGCAUCUUUGCCCAUUUUGCUCUGUCACGGAAUCUGGGAUGAAGAGUCAGUGUGAUGAGAAAAUGUUCGAUUUUGUCUUCUGUAAGGCAAGAACAAUCUCUACAAAAAUAGUAAGUUUUUUCAUAUGCUUCUAACGAUUUCUA